UUUCAGACUUUGAAUGAGUGGAUGCAGAAAUUAAGUUCAGAUUACAUGCAAUAUGAGAUUCUAAGAGAAGCAUUUUUGAAACAUGUGGAACGUUGGGGAAAACUUGUUGAUGAGGAUGAUGGGAAUCCUAACUCUGCUCUCAUCAAAAUGUAAUUUUUGAUAUAUUGCAUGGUAUAUUUUCUAAUCAUAUCCGAUGGAGGAUCUCAUUGUGUACUUGUCUUUGCAGUCUAUUUCGUGAAACUGAUAAAGAUGGAGAUGGAUAUAUAACAGGGCCUGAAAUGCAAAAGUUGUUUAAUAAAAUCAUGCCAGGAAUGUCCGAAGAGACCAUAAAUAGAGCUGUUGAUAAAUCAAUGAAAUUAUUUGAUUCCGACAAGGAUGGUAAAAUCAACCAAACUGAAUUCACCAGAGCAUGUGUAACGUUAGCUGAAAAAGGUGAUUUCUUUUCAACAGAACUUCAAGACGAGGCAAGCUUCCUAAUUCACGCAAAUUUUAAAACUAUUGAUACUAAUGGAAGUAUCUUGUAGAAGUUUUAUCUGCAAGAUGUUGCUUCUAUAAAUGUAUUCAAAUCUCUAUCACAUUUUAGUAACUUCUCUUCCUAAUGUGCAUCAUAGCAAUUUUGAAAUUAAUUAUAAAUAUAUUCCUUAUUUGCGGUUGAUCUGCUGCAGAACUUUCAACAGUUUAGUCGUAUGGAGAAAGAGAAAUUGGAAAUUGAUCCAAUAAUGUCGAAAAUUCUAAAGCACGCUGAAAGCCAACUACUAGAAGGAUCGCUUAUCCAGGAAGAUGGGAAACCAAACAUUGAGAGAAUUAACACGUAAUUUAUCAUAAUUUAUCUUUUUGUUUUCUUAGUUUGACAGAAAUUUCUCACAAUCUUCUUUUUAUUCUGGCAGCCUCUUCAGAAAGUAUGACAAUGACAAUAACAACAAGAUAUCAAGAAAUGAAUUAGAGGAAAUAAUCAAUACAGUCCAAUUCGAAAAUUUGCACCCAAAAUCUGAGGAUGUGGUGAACAAAAUAUUUUUCAAUUUCGAUAAAGAUGGUAGUAAUAUGAUUGAAAAAGAAGAAUUUGUCAACGGAUUACAAAAUUGGCUUGGUAAAGCCGUUCGUGUUGCUAAAUGCUCUGAUAAGACUAAAAGUGUGGAUAAAUUUGACAGGGUGAGAAUGAAAUUGCUUUAACUUUUUACAGAACCUUUUUGUCACAUUUUGUAUAAAUUACUGAUUUCAUUGGAAAUUAACUAACUCAUUUUUCUUUUCCCUUGCAGAUUGUAUGGGAUAAAUUUGUUUACAGACAAUCUUACUGGAAUUUUGUAACAUGUGUAUUUAGAAUUGUGUUGGGUAUUGUUAUAUUGACCUUCAUUGGAGGACCUCUCACAACAAGUAUCCUACAGUUAUCAUAUGCCAUGAGUGUGCCUUCUUUCUCCAUCUCAUUUGUCAUAGUGCCAUUGGCAAUGAAUGCAAGAAUCUUAAUAGAAGCUAUCUUUCCAGUCAGUAAAAAGACUGAAAAAACUGCAUCUUUAACAUUCUCUGAGGUCCCUCUCUUCCUCCCUCUCUUACACACGCACACAAAUGCAAGCACACAAAUGCAAGCACUCAGCAUGCGCUCACGUAUACAUUAUAAUGGAGCAUUAACAAUGAAUUGUGAAGUACUCGUUGGUGAAACCUUUUUCAUUUGACUUGCAGAUUUAUAGUAGCGUCGUAAUGAACAACAUCUCAGGUUUGACAACACUAUUAGCAGUUGUAUACGCCAAGGACUUGCCAUGGGAUUAUUCUGCAGAAGUGCUAACUAUUUUGGUUGUCUGUGCUAUAGUAGGGAUUUUGGGAGUCUCACGUACCGAAUAUCCUUUUUGGACUUGCUUAUUAGCAUUUUUCCUCUAUCCAUUCUCCUUGGGGCUUUAUUGUUUUGUUGUACUUGUUCUUCACUGGAAUUAACCUGAUCAUGUUUCUUGGGUAUUUUACUCUUUUCUG
rnacentral:lncRNA from 1 species